rnacentral:rRNA from 1 species
CAGCAGCCACGGGAAUACGUAGGUGGCAAGCGUUGUCCGGAAUUAUUGGGCGUAAAGGGCUCGCAGGCGGUUUCUUAAGUCUGAUGUGAGAGCCCCCGGCUCAACCGGGGAGGGUCAUUGGAAACUGGGAAACUUGAGUGCAGAAGAGGAGAGUGGAAUUCCACGUGUAGCGGUGAAAUGCGUAGAGAUGUGGAGGAACACCAGUGGCGAAGGCGACUCUCUGGUCCGUAACUGACGCUGAGGAGCGAAAGCGUGGGGAGCGAACAGGAUUAGAUACCCGCGUAGUCCCUGUCUCUUAUAC